GGUCCAGAUCCCGAUCGGUAAGGGCGCGGUUUGCAAAACCGCCGCGGUGGGUUCGACUCCCACCUGGACCUCCA
rnacentral:tRNA from 1 species